rnacentral:rRNA from 1 species
UACAGAGGGUGCGAGCGUUAAUCGGAAUUACUGGGCGUAAAGCGUGCGUAGACGGUUAUUUAAGUCGGGUGUGAAAGCCCCGGGCUCAACCUGGGAAUUGCAUUCGAGACUGAAUAGCUAGGGUACGGUAGAGGGAAGCGGAAUUUCCGGUGUAGCGGUGAAAUGCGUAGAUAUCGGAAGGAACAUCAGUGGCGAAAAGCGGACUUCCUG